AAAUUGAAGAGUUUGAUCAUGGCUCAGAUUGAACGCUGGCGGCAGGCCUAACACAUGCAAGUCGAACGGUAACAGGAAGCAGCUUGCUGCUUUGCUGACGAGUGGCGGACGGGUGAGUAAUGUCUGGGAAACUGCCUGAUGGAGGGGGGAUAACUACUGGAAACGGUAGCUAAUACCGCAUAACGUCGCAAGACCAAAGAGGGGGACCUUCGGGCCUCUUGCCAUCGGAUGUGCCCAGAUGGGAUUAGCUAGUAGGUGGGGUAACGGCUCACCUAGGCGACGAUCCCUAGCUGGUCUGAGAGGAUGACCAGCCACACUGGAACUGAGACACGGUCCAGACUCCUACGGGAGGCAGCAGUGGGGAAUAUUGCACAAUGGGCGCAAGCCUGAUGCAGCCAUGCCGCGUGUAUGAAGAAGGCCUUCGGGUUGUAAAGUACUUUCAGCGGGGAGGAAGGCGAUAAGGUUAAUAACCUUGUCGAUUGACGUUACCCGCAGAAGAAGCACCGGCUAACUCCGUGCCAGCAGCCGCGGUAAUACGGAGGGUGCAAGCGUUAAUCGGAAUUACUGGGCGUAAAGCGCACGCAGGCGGUCUGUCAAGUCGGAUGUGAAAUCCCCGGGCUCAACCUCGGGAACUGCAUUCGAAACUGGCAGGCUAGAGUCUUGUAGAGGGGGGUAGAAUUCCGGUGUAGCGGUGAAAUGCGUAGAGAUCUGGAGGAAUACCGGUGGCGAAGGCGGCCCCCCUGGACAAAGACUGACGCUCAGGUGCGAAAGCGUGGGGAGCAAACAGGAUUAGAUACCCUCGGUAGUCCACGCCGUAAACGAUGUCGACUUGGAGGUUGUGCCCUUGAGGCGUGGCUUCCGGAGCUAACGCGUUAAGUCGACCGCCCUGGGGAGUACGGCCGCAAGGUUAAAACUCAAAUGAAUUGACGGGGGCCCGCACAAGCGGUGGAGCAUGUGGUUUAAUUCGAUGCAACGCGAAGAACCUUACCUACUCUUGACAUCCAGAGAACUUUCCAGAGAUGGAUUGGUGCCUUCGGGAACUCUGAGACAGGUGCUGCAUGGCUGUCGUCAGCUCGUGUUGUGAAAUGUUGGGUUAAGUCCCGCAACGAGCGCAACCCUUAUCCUUUGUUGCCAGCGGUUAGGCCGGGAACUCAAAGGAGACUGCCAGUGAUAAACUGGAGGAAGGUGGGGAUGACGUCAAGUCAUCAUGGCCCUUACGAGUAGGGCUACACACGUGCUACAAUGGCGCAUACAAAGAGAAGCGACCUCGCGAGAGCAAGCGGACCUCAUAAAGUGCGUCGUAGUCCGGAUUGGAGUCUGCAACUCGACUCCAUGAAGUCGGAAUCGCUAGUAAUCGUGGAUCAGAAUGCCACGGUGAAUACGUUCCCGGGCCUUGUACACACCGCCCGUCACACCAUGGGAGUGGGUUGCAAAAGAAGUAGGUAGCUUAACCUUCGGGAGGGCGCUUACCACUUUGUGAUUCAUGACUGGGGUGAAGUCGUAACAAGGUAACCGUAGGGGAACCUGCGGUUGGAUCACCUCCUUA
rnacentral:rRNA from 1 species